rnacentral:pre_miRNA from 1 species
UCUUAUGAAUGAGCAAAGAAAGUAAUUUUUUGAGAUGGAAUUUACUCCUGGUGAAGAUACUGUAAA